rnacentral:rRNA from 1 species
GACGAACGCUGGCGGCGUGCUUAACACAUGCAAGUCGAACGGAAAGGCCCUGCUUUUGUGGGGUGCUCGAGUGGCGAACGGGUGAGUAACACGUGAGUAACCUGCCCUUGACUUUGGGAUAACUUCAGGAAACUGGGGCUACUACCGGAUAGGAGCUCCCGCUGCAUGGUGGGGGUUGGAAAGUUUCGGCGGUUGGGGAUGGACUCGCGGCUUAUCAGCUUGUUGGUGGGGUAGUGGCUUACCAAGGCUUUGACGGGUAGCCGGACUGGGAGGGUGACAGGCUCCAGUGGCAUAGGGGAGGGACCCGGGGGCCAUAGGGGGGAAGGGGGGGAAAAUUGUUCCAACUGGGCGGAGGGCGUGAGGAACACCCUCGGGUGGGGAAGCACGGCUUUCGGGAUAGAAACGGAUUCCGCUUAUACCGAGCGGUGAGGAGGGUAACUGGAGAAAAAACCCCGGGUAACCUCGUG